GAUGAACGCUGGCGGCGCGCCUAACACAUGCAAGUCGAACGAUUAAAGCACCUUCGGGUGUGUAUAAAGUGGCGAACGGCUGAGUAACACGUGGGCAACCUGCCCCUUUCAUUGGGAUAGCCACGGGAAACCGUGGAUAAUACCGAAUACUUCGAGACUUCCGCAUGGAAGACUCGAGAAAGCUCCGGCGGAGAGGGAUGGGCCCGCGGCCUGUUAGCUUGUUGGUGGGGUAACGGCCUACCAAGGCAAUGAUGGGUAGCUGGGGUGAGAGACCGACCAGCCAGAGUGGGACUGAGACACGGCCCAGACUCCUACGGGAGGCAGCAGUGGGGAAUCUUGCACAAGGGGCGAAAGCCUGGUGGAGCGACGCCGCGUGCGGGAUGAAGGUCUUCGGGUUGUAAACCGCUUUCAGCAGGGACGAGGCGAAAGGGACGGGACCUGCAGAGAAGCCCCGGCUAACUACGUG
rnacentral:rRNA from 1 species